ACUACUUUGCCCUGCUCUACAGUGCCCUGGAGAGUAAGCAGUGUGUGUGUGUGUGUGUGUGUGUGUGUGUGUGUGUUUGGUAGAGAGGCGAUUCAGUUCAGGCAUGGCACAAAUUCCACUACAAUCCCUCUGUCUGGACCGGGUGGGACCCGUGAUUUCAACAGAACUAGAUUUCACAGGUCGGGAGCACGGUGAUAGUAGGCCACAUGGUAACAUCGCUAUUUCCUCUGAAGCUAUGGAUCCUGACGACCUGGACGAAGAUCGACUGCUUGAUUACGACAUUCAGAUGAGCAUUCAGGAGUCGUGCUACAAAUAUCAUUAUCAUCCUUAGAGAGUGAUGAACAUCUGAAGAUCCUAAAGGCUAUUGAUCGAGGUCACUGAGAAUUUUUAUUCUGAUAACCACUAGAAGGGCAAUCAGACUUUCAGGCAAGAGUCCCGUUCACUCUGCAGCCGACAGAGUCCAUGUACAAUGCCUGGAGCUACUCGUGGAAAAGGGCUUUGAUGUCAACGCUCUCCUAGACCUUCACAUCUCUGAAGACUACAGAGACAUGAGAAAAAGUGCAUUGUACUUUACUGUCUCUAAUGGAUACGUGACCUGCACUGAAAUGCUGCUGAACACAGGAGACAAACCUGACCUGGCCGCUCUAUUCUGCCUCGUGGUGGCGAUGAGAGAUGGGCAGUACGAGAUUGCAAAGCUGCUUUUGGCCAGACAUGCAGACAUCAAUUGUUACUUUUCCGUGUUCUGUAAUUUCAUCAGAGUUUCUUGGCUGUUGCACUUGGCUGGGAGAGCAGUGUGGAUCUGUAACGGAAUUCCUCUUCUUCAGAGGAGGAGUAGCAAGGAUCAGACCAAUGUGCAGCGUGGUCAUUUUAGAGAAUUUGGCAGUAUGUCCAACCAGCCUCACAACCGCAGAUCACGUGCAACCAGCCAGCCCGGGACCUCCACAUCCGAGUUCUUCACCUGAGGGAUUGUCUGAGACCAGCCACCUGGACAGCUGAUGAAAUUGAGGAGUAUUUCUGUCUGUAAUAAAUCCCAUUUGUGUGAAAAAACAAAUUCAGAUUGGCUGGGGCUGACUCCCCCACUGCCCAGUCAUGUGAAAUCCGUAGAUUAGCGCCUAAUGAAUUUAUUUCAGUCGCCGGAUUUUCUUAUAUG